AUUGAACGCUGGCGGCAGGCCUAACACAUGCAAGUCGAACGGUAACAGGAAGAAGCUUGCUUCUUUGCUGACGAGUGGCGGACGGGUGAGUAAUGUCUGGGAAACUGCCUGAUGGAGGGGGAUAACUACUGGAAACGGUAGCUAAUACCGCAUAACGUCGCAAGACCAAAAAGGGGGACCUUCGGGCCUCUUGCCAUCGGAUGUGCCCAGAUGGGAUUAGCUAGUAGGUGGGGUAACGGCUCACCUAGGCGACGAUCCCUAGCUGGUCUGAGAGGAUGACCAGCCACACUGGAACUGAGACACGGUCCAGACUCCUACGGGAGGCAGCAGUGGGGAAUAUUGCACAAUGGGCGCAAGCCUGAUGCAGCCAUGCCGCGUGUAUGAGGAAGGCCUUCGGGUUGUAAAGUACUUUCAGCGGGGAGGAAGGGAGUAAAGUUAAUACCUUUGCUCAUUGACGUUACCCGCAGAAGAAGCACCGGCUAACUCCGUG
rnacentral:rRNA from 1 species